rnacentral:rRNA from 1 species
ACACAUGCAGUCGAACGAGAUCCAUUUGGUGCUUGCACCAGAGAAGAUCUAGUGGCGAACGGGUGAGUAGCACGUGAGCAACCUACCCCGAAGACCGGGAUAACACCGGGAAACCGGUGCUAAUACCGGAUACCCUCACAGCAUCACGUGGUGCAGUGAGGAAAUGGAUUCCGCUUCGGGAGGGGCUCGCGGCCUAUCAGCUUGUUGGUGGGGUAAUGGCCUACCAAGGCUUCGACGGGUAGCUGGUCUGAGAGGACGAUCAGCCACACUGGGACUGAGACACGGCCCAGACUCCUACGGGAGGCAGCAGUGGGGAAUCUUGCGCAAUGGGCGAAAGCCUGACGCAGCAACGCCGCGUGAGGGACGAAUGUUCUUUGAAUUGUAAACCUCUUUCAGCAGGGACGAUAAUGACGGUACCUGCAGAAGAAGCACCGGCCAACUACGUGCCAGCAGCCGCGGUGAUACGUAGGGUGCAAGCGUUGUCCGGAUUUAUUGGGCGUAAAGGGCUCGUAGGCGGUUCGACAAGUCGGGUGUGAAACCCCCAGGCUCAACCUGGGGACGCCACUCGAAACUGUCGUGACUAGAGUUUGGUAGGGGAUCACGGAAUUCCUGGUGUAGCGGUGGAAUGCGCAGAUAUCAGGAGGAACACCAGUAGCGAAGGCGGUGAUCUGGGCCAAUACUGACGCUGAGGAGCGAAAGCGUGGGGAGCAAACAGGAUUAGAUACCCUGGUAGUCCACGCCGUAAACGGUGGGCACUAGGUGUGGGAACUAUUCAACGGUUUCCGCGCCGACGCUACGCAUUAAGUGCCCCGCCUGGGGAGUACGGCCGCAAGGCUAAACUCAAGGAAUUGACGGGGGCCCGCACAAGCGGCGGAGCAUGUGGCUUAAUUCGAGGCACGCGAGAACCUUAUCUAGGUUUGACAUGUAUGGAAA